CCGAGGUCCGCGGGGGCGCGGCCGCAGGGGGAGCUCCGGGUCCCAGAGCCCCCCACCCGAGCCCGGGGCUGCAGCGUGCGGCCGGAGCCGGGGGCGGUCGCCCCACCGGAAGAAGGCCUCGACCCCAAGCGGACUUUACUCUGGAGACCAGUAAUGCGGGACCCACGGGAGAACCACGCGGAGAAGUCCCAGGAGGCACUAGACAGCUGACCCCUGGCUCCCCGGCUCAAGUGCACCUGGGCCACCUGGCAUGCACGGGGGUGGGCCCAGGCCCAACCGAGUCCAGCCUUUUCUCUCAUUCCCCGGAGGGCAGGCUGGCCGGAUCUCAGGUGGUGGACGGUAGGAACCAGCUGCCCGGGGUCCACCCAUCCGCUCUCACCUCGGGUGAGCCGGCCUCCUCACCACCAGGUCCAAAGAGUGAUGUGAGUAGCUGUGGGUCAAGUCCAGCAGUGGCAUGCAGUUCCAGGCGUGCAUAACAACCUUCAGGUAAUAGAAGGUCCAUCUCAUGCAGAGACAUUAACUUGCUUGAAACCCUCAGCUCCGGAGCCGAGACAUGCGAUCUUCAAAAAUUAGUAAUAUGAGAGGAUAUGUUUGUAGACAAGAAACGGAGACCAGUCCUUCAAAGAAAGAGGACAGAAGGCAGAGGCUGGCAGUGUAGGGGUGCUGGGAGGAGAUUGGGGCCAGGCGUGCAGGCACUAGGGCUGAGCCAAAGCCCAGCAUGUCCACCCUCAGGGCCAUGGUGAGUGGCAAAGCCACACGCCCGUGGUUGGGCCUCAGCAGAGCCACCAGGCUCAGAGGGACUGUCCCAGAGAUGCGACGCUCCUGUCAAGUGCAGGCCACAGCACACACGUCUUAGAAGACCGCGGUUGGGAGCCUGGCCAGAUGCAGACCGAGCAGAGGCCAUGGGCAGGUGGCCCUGAGUUUUGCAGAACCUCCGGAAAACCUCAUAAGCAGGGACCACAGAGCACUGAUUUUCUUUAUUGAAGAGACAGAGCACAGAAGGAGGAGCAGAGGGAGAGGAAGACACAGGCUCCCCAAGGAGCAGGGAGCCCCACGCGGGGCGAGAUCCCAGCUCAGCAUCAAAGAGCAAGAAGAAACCCGGUUCUGACAACAGGAAGCAAGAGUGUGACGUCCGGGGUGUGCAGUGUGACACCACCACCAGAGCACUGUUUCCAAAGGUGGGGCCGUGCACACAGCAGUGCUGAGCGAAUAGCACUGGCAAGCAGGCUGUGUUUUCAGGCGUCACCUAAGGGGAAAACAAACGUGGGACCUGGGAGGGAGCAGCACGCAGGCCAGGGUCCCAGCCGCGGUCACCCGAGCAUGGGGCUCCUGCCCAGGUGGUGCCAGAGGAGGACCAGAUGGCCUUGUCUGCGGGAGAGCUGCGAUUUUCAAGGCGGCCAGCCCUGACCACCCCCAUCUCUCCAGCCCCUGCAGGCCCCCCACUCACUCUCAUCACUCCCCUGGUCCCAUUUGUCCCUCUAAGUGCGUCCCAGCCCUGCCUGUGACCUCCACCCCACCCAGCAGAAUCUCUCAGCCACCCCUGCUCCAGGACCCAUGAUUCGGUCAAAUCUGUGUGGGUCAGGAGCUGUUUUCCCUCCGCGCUUGUAAAAGUUGGGAAUUGAGAUAGACAAAGCCUGCGAUGUUUAAACAGAUGUGACAGGAUACGAGAAGAGGAUUGGUCUUGGCCCCGUGCUAAGGCCCAGGACAGCGGGUGCCAGGGACUCCCACACACCCGCUGGCACGAGGGCAGCCCACCGAAGCUGGAUCCCCAUGGAGGUGCUUGAAAACCAGGUUCCUGACCCUGAGCUGACCCUCCGCCCCACCCCUUGGGCUUACAAAAGAGGUUGAAGAGGUUGUUGAGGCGUUAGGAAGAAUUAGAGAUGAGUCCUUGUGAGUCCCACCCCAGCAGAGGGGACUGGGUGCAGGUAUGCUUGGCCCUCGCCCUCAUCCCGGGAAGCAGUUUCACUGGGAUCAUGGGGAAAGUCAGGAAAUUAUUCCAGGAGCGGGAGAAAAUGGAGAGAACUGGAAGAUUGGUGUCCAGCUCAAGCCUCAGUCAUCCAAGGAGGAGGACGUCCUAUCCUGCCCUCCAAGGAUUAUGGGCCUCAGGCCCUGCCCUCCUACUGUAAGCAAAUAGGUGGCUGCAGGGAUGGAGGGAGCACAGAAAACAUUCUUUUUUUUUUUUUUUUUUAAGAUUUUAUUUCUUUAUCCAUGAGAGACACAGAGAGAAAGAGGCAGAGACACAGGCAGAGGGAGAAGCAGACUCCCUACGGGGAGCCCGAUGUGGGAUUCGAUCCAGGGACCCCGGGAUCAUGCCCUGAAAUACAUUCUUUGAGAGGGAACAACGGGCAGCACAGAUGUAAUGUGCAAGGCCUGCCCUGAAGCUGGUGGAGGGGAUGGGGUGCCUAGAGCCCCCAGCCCCACUGAGCUGAGGCAGCUCAAAUUCUCAGGGCCAAGGGCCAAGAAGGAAGGAGACUCAGAGAAAGAGCUCCAGGUGUCUGCAGAGCAUCUCCUGGAGGUUUGCUAAGAACGGCCAGGCUUGUACAUGAGAGCAAAGAACCACUGUGAAAUAGCAGGCCCAGCAACCUACAGAGCCCACGCAGGAGCUCAGACAGUCCCUGCUUCCACCAGUCAGGAUAGACAGACCUUGCAGGGUUGGACAGACUUCGCAGAACACCAGGCCCCCAGGGAGAGCCAUCGAAAGGGUCGUGCAUUUCAGCAGAAUGAGAGGCAAUCCGGCAAUCCACAGGAUGGAAGAAAAUAUUUGCAAGCCACAUACUUGUAAUAAGGGGCUAAUAUCCAAAAUACAUGAGGAUUUCAGUAUCAAAGAAACAAGCCAAUUAAAAACAGACAAAGAGGGGAUCCCUGGGUGGUUCAGCGGUUUAGCGCCUGCCUUCAGUCCAGGGCGUGGUCCUGGAGUCCCGGGAUCAAGUCCCACAUCGGGCUCCCGGCAUGGGGCCUGCUUCUCCCUCUGCCUGUGUCUAUGCCGCGCCCUCUCUCUCUCUCUCUGUCUCUCAUAAAUCAAUCAGUCAAUCAAUCAAUCAAUCAGACAACGGACCCAAAGAGACAUUUUUCCAAAGACGAUGCACAAACAGGCCAAUAGUUGUGUUGGAAGGUGCUCGAGGUCACCGAUUAUCAGAGAAAGGCAAAUCAAAACCACAGUGAGAGACCGCCUCGCACCUCCCAGAGUGUGUGCAAUCCAGAGAACAUGAGGGAAGUGCAGCCUCUGUGGACACAGUAUGAAUACAUAUAACACACACAAGGGCAUAUUAUGCACCCUGAGAAAGAAGAUCCUGCCGUUCACAGAUUCGUGGCUUACACUGCACGUAAUUAGCCAGACAGAGAAAGAAAGGCACAUCCUGCCUGGUCCCACAUGUAGGGGGAGAAAAAGCCAAAGGCUUGGAAGCAGAGAUGCUUCACAGGCAACCAUGUGAGGCAAUGGGCGUGUUAAUUGAUUGUGGGAAUUCUUGUACAGUGUGUCUGUACAUCAAAUGAUCAUGUUGUGCACUUUGUGUUUUUUUUAAGUUUAUUUAUUUAUUUUUUAGUAAUCUCUGUCCCCAACGCGGGGUGCAAACUCAUGAACCUGAGAUCAAGAUCAGAGCUGAGAUCAAGGGUCAGAUAUUAACCGACGGAGCCACCCUCACACCCCUCAUGUUGUGCACUCUAAGCAUAUGACAAUUUUAUUUGUAAAUUAUACCUCAAUAAAGCUGCAAAAAAAAAAAAAAAGAAGAAGAAGAAAAGGAAAAAAAAAAGGAAAAGAAAAAAAGAAAGACCAUGAGCUAGCAGAAGGGCUAACCAGACUCAUAAUAAAGGUCGCCUUGAGCAGCCCAAGGUGGCUCAGCAGUUUAGUGUAGCCUUCAGCCCAGGAUGUGAUUCUGGAGACCCGGGAUCCAGUCCCACGUCGGGCUCCCUGCAUGGAGCCUGCUUCUCCCUCUGUCUAUGUCUCUGCCUCUCUCUCUCUCUUAUGAAUAAAUAAAAUAUUUUUAAAAAAUGAAAUGCAUAAAUCCCCCCAAGACAUGAAGUGUCAAAAUUCACUUCAAAAAGAAUAGCUGAUCCUUCUUAAAAGAAAUCUCCAGAGCAGCCCAGGUGGCUCAGCAGUUUAGUGCUGCCUUUUUGGUCCAGGGCAUGAUCCUGGAGACCAGGGAUCGAGUCCCAUGUCCGGUUCCCACCAUGGAGCCUGGUUCUCCCUCUGCCUCUCUCUCUCUCAUGAAUAAAUAAUCUUUAAAACAAACAAACAAACAAAAAAGAAAUCUCCAGGCACCAAUUACUUCACUAAUGGAGUCUACCAAAUAUUUAAGAAAAAAAUGUAAAAAAAAAAAAAAAAAAAAAAAACACCUUUUAAAAAAUGAAGGAAAUUUUCAAAGGACAGGACCUGCUCCUGGCCUGGUUUUUUCCUGACACUCAGAGUAGAUAAGAACAUCACAACAGAACUUGAGCAAAUUGAAUCCAGUAACACACAACGAGAUAAUGCAUCAUGACCAUCAGGGGUUUCCGUCACAAAUGCAAACUUAGUUUAGCAUUUGAACAUUAAGCAAUAUAAUCCCAAUUAACAGUGCAAACCAGAAGAACUAUAGGAUUAGCUCAAUAGAUGCAGAAAAAUCAUCUGAAAAAAUGCAACAUCCCCUAAUGAUCAAGUGUUUUUUUUUUAAAGACCUUUUCGUAAAUAAACUAGGGACAGAAAGGAACUUCCUUAAUCUUACAAAAAGCAGCCAAGAUAAACCUACAAUGAACAUCGUUCUUGACCAUAAAAGGCUGACUGGGUCUCCUCAAAGAUUAGGGGAUUGGCAUAUCUUGUCUCACCUCUUCAGUUCAAACUUGUGCUGGAGUUUCAGCCCAUGCAACAGACAAGAAACAGAAGGUGUGCAUGCCAGAUACCAAGAAAACCCUUUGUUCACAAAACAUGGGUGUGCAUGGAGAAAAUCUUAAGUAAUCAAAAAAAACAAAACAAAACAAAACAAACUACUGUAAC